rnacentral:tRNA from 1 species
GCGGUUAAGCUGAUGGUUUCAGUCGCUGGCCUUCCAAGCCAUGCUGAGCAGGGUUCGAUUCCCUCUGACCGCUCCA